GGAUUGCUAGAAGAACAAAGGGAGCAUUUAGAGAUGGUCUCUGCCCUCCUGGAAUUUACACGAUGAAUGGAAGAAGAUGCAGAAUUGCGCAUGCUGUGCAUGUCCAACACAAACAGAUGACAUUCCUUUGUAGUUAGAGAAGCCUGGCCACAGGGAACUGUGUUUGUUUUGGUUUUUCCCCUUCGUGGUUUACCAGAACCAAUCUGAGUUGGAAAAUGCUAUUUGCUUUAAAGAAAUUAGUUACUCUUUUGCAACAUUAAAUUGUGUCAGCCAAGCAAAUGAAGCCCUAUUUAUAAAAUUGCUUGCUUCUGGUUUCACUUUAUUGCAUCGUGGGCUCCGAGAGGGAGAAAAAUGAAGUUUUUGCUGCUUAGCACAUUUAUAUUUUUGUAUAGUUCCUUAGCCUUGGCAAGAGAUAAGCAUUAUUUCAUUGGAAUUACUGAAGCAGUCUGGGACUAUGCUUCUGGCACUGAAGAAAAGAAACUUAUUUCAGUUGACACGGAACAGUCCAAUUUCUAUCUUCAAAAUGGUCCAGAUCGUAUUGGAAGAAAAUAUAAGAAGGCCCUUUAUUUUGAGUACACAGAUGGCACCUUUAGUAAGACUAUAGACAAACCAGCCUGGCUAGGGUUUUUAGGCCCUGUCAUCAAAGCUGAAGUUGAAGAUAAAGUUUAUGUUCACUUAAAGAACCUUGCCUCUAGGAUCUACACUUUUCAUGCACAUGGGGUAACGUACACCAAGGAGUAUGAGGGAGCCGUCUACCCUGACAACACCACUGAUUUUCAACGGGCUGAUGACAAAGUGCUUCCCGGACAACAGUAUGUGUAUGUGCUGCAUGCCAAUGAGCCAAGUCCUGGAGAGGGAGACAGCAAUUGUGUGACCAGGAUUUACCACUCCCAUGUUGAUGCUCCAAAAGAUAUUGCAUCAGGACUCAUAGGACCUCUAAUACUCUGUAAAAAAGGUUCUCUAUAUAAGGAAAAAGAGAAAAAUAUUGACCAAGAAUUUGUACUAAUGUUCUCUGUGGUGGAUGAAAAUCUCAGCUGGUAUCUGGAAGAUAACAUCAAAACCUUCUGCUCUGAACCCGAGAAAGUUGAUAAAGACAAUGAAGACUUCCAGGAAAGCAACAGGAUGUACUCUAUAAAUGGAUAUACAUUUGGAAGCCUCCCAGGGCUCUCGAUGUGUGCAGCAGACAGAGUGAAGUGGUACCUUUUUGGUAUGGGUAAUGAAGUUGAUGUGCAUUCAGCUUUCUUUCAUGGCCAAGCCCUGACCAGCAGGAACUAUCAAACCGAUAUAAUCAACCUGUUCCCUGCCACCCUAAUUGAUGCUUAUAUGGUGGCCCAGAAUCCUGGAGUCUGGAUGCUCAGUUGCCAGAACCUAAACCAUCUGAAAGCUGGGUUGCAGGCCUUUUUCCAGGUUCGUGACUGUAACAAGCCCUCGCCAGAGGAUAAUAUCCAAGAUAGGCAUGUGAGACACUAUUACAUUGCUGCUGAGGAGGUCAUCUGGAAUUAUGCUCCUUCUGGGACGGACAUCUUCACUGGAGAGAAUUUAACAGCUCUGGAAAGUGAUUCAAGGGUAUUUUUUGAGCAAGGUGCCACAAGAAUUGGUGGCUCUUAUAAAAAAAUGGCAUAUCGUGAGUACACAGAUGGUUCCUUCACAAACCGAAAACAAAGAGGCCCUGAUGAGGAACAUCUUGGAAUCCUAGGUCCUGUCAUUUGGGCAGAAGUAGGAGACACCAUUAAAGUCACCUUUCAUAACAAAGGACAGCAUCCUCUCAGCAUUCAGCCAAUGGGAGUAAGUUUCACUGCAGAAAAUGAGGGAACAUACUAUGGCCCACCAGGUCGCUCCUCACAGCAAGCAGCCUCCCAUGUGGCUCCCAAAGAAACCUUUACAUACGAAUGGACUGUCCCCAAAGAAAUGGGACCCACUUAUGCAGAUCCUGUGUGCCUAUCUAAGAUGUACUACUCUGGCGUUGACCCCACCAAAGAUAUAUUUACUGGGCUUAUUGGGCCAAUGAAAAUAUGCAAGAAAGGCAGCUUACUUGCUGAUGGGAGACAGAAAGAUGUAGACAAAGAGUUCUACUUGUUUCCCACAGUGUUUGAUGAGAAUGAGAGUUUACUCUUAGAUGAUAAUAUCAGGAUGUUCACAACUGCACCUGAUCAAGUGGAUAAGGAAGAUGAAGACUUUCAGGAGUCUAAUAAGAUGCACUCCAUGAAUGGGUUCAUGUAUGGCAAUCAGCCUGGCCUCAAUAUGUGUCUAGGAGAAUCCAUCGUGUGGUAUUUGUUCAGCGCUGGAAAUGAGGCUGAUGUGCAUGGGAUAUACUUUUCAGGAAAUACUUAUCUGUCUAAAGGAGAAAGAAGAGACACUGCAAACCUAUUCCCUCAUAAAAGUCUCACCCUUCUCAUGAACCCUGACACAAAAGGGACUUUUGAUGUUGAGUGCCUUACAACGGAUCACUACACAGGUGGCAUGAAGCAAAAAUACACUGUGAACCAGUGCCAGCGGCAGUUUGAAGAUUUCACUGUCUACCUUGGAGAAAGGACCUACUAUGUGGCAGCCGUAGAGGUGGAAUGGGAUUACUCACCAAGCAGGGCCUGGGAAAAGGAGCUGCAUCAUUUGCAAGAGCAAAAUGUUUCAAAUGUAUUUUUGGAUAAAGAAGAGUUUUUCAUAGGCUCAAAGUACAAGAAGGUUGUGUAUCGCCAGUUUACUGACAGCUCAUUCAGAGAACAGGUGAAGAGACGAGCCGAAGACGAGCACUUGGGCAUCCUUGGGCCACCAAUUCAUGCAAAUGUUGGAGACAAAGUUAAAGUUGUCUUUAAAAAUAUGGCAACCAGGCCAUAUUCAAUACAUGCCCAUGGGGUGAAAACAGAGAGUUCUACAGUUGUUCCAACGUUACCAGGUGAAGUUCGAACUUAUACAUGGCAAAUUCCAGAAAGAUCAGGGGCUGGAAGAGAGGAUUCAGCUUGUAUCCCAUGGGCUUAUUACUCAACUGUGGAUCGAGUUAAGGAUCUCUAUAGUGGGCUAAUAGGCCCAUUGAUUGUUUGUCGGAAGUCUUAUGUGAAAGUAUUCAGUCCUAAAAAGAAAAUGGAGUUUUUCCUUCUGUUUCUAGUAUUUGAUGAGAAUGAAUCUUGGUACUUAGAUGAUAACAUCAAAACAUACUCUGAACACCCUGAGAAAGUAAACAAAGACAACGAGGAAUUCCUAGAAAGCAAUAAAAUGCAUGCUAUUAAUGGGAAAAUGUUUGGAAACCUACAAGGCCUCACAAUGCACGUGAAAGAUGAAGUCAACUGGUAUGUGAUGGGAAUGGGCAAUGAAAUAGACCUGCACACUGUACACUUCCACGGCCACAGCUUCCAAUACAAGUAUCAUCUCAGAGUUACAGGAUGACCUGGAACAUCCUCUAUACACUACUAAUCAGCAUCAUUAUUUUAUUCCAAAUGUCUACCAAGGAGUAGCCAGGAAAAUAAGCAAAAAUUCCCAGAAAAGGGUGAAGGGAAUAUGCAGAAACUGAGGCAUUAUGAGAAGUCUACAAAGCAGAGGCACGGAUGAGAGGGAAGAUCAAUGGCAUAGAACAGAUUUUCAACAUAAUUAUAGAAAACUCCCAGAAUAAGGAAAACCACAACCAUAUAGACACACAGAACACCAACUAGAAGAAGAAAAGAAGUUCCCCAUGGAACAUAAGUUAAAACACUAAAUAUACACAACACAGAGGAUACUGAAAGCAGCAAGAGAAAGGACACAAGUCCCAUGCAAAGGCAAACACACCAGGAAACUGCUGAUGGAGGCUGAACACCAGCAGAGUCUGGUGCAAUGCACCCCAAAGGACCACAGACGCCAAAUCAGACUUCUUUACCCAGCAACGCUCUCUGCCAUAGUUGAAGAAAGAAAGUUUUCAUGAUAGAAACAGGUUAAAGGAAUGUAUCCACCAAGCCAGCCCCGCUGAGAAUACUAGAACCUGAAGAUACUUUAGACUGAAGAGAGGAUAAGCAAGCCCAAAAGGCCACAUAAAGAAAACAAGUGAAGCCAUCUAACAAGAACACGGAAUAAGACAAAGAACACAGCAGAAUUCCCCCACAAACACACACAACAAAAUUACAGCAAUCAACAAACCCUUUUCAAUACUAACUUUAAGUAUUGGCUUCAACUUCCCAAUCAAAAGAAAAUGUUGAAUGGAAUGAUUAAGUAACAAAAAUCCAUCUUUUGUUACAUACAGAGAUUUUAAAUGAUCACUGAAUUAUACCGUUUGAUUGUGAUUAUAAAUGUGCUUAGAAGUUAUAUCAGUAAAAUUUUCAUAGCCUAUUACACGUACAACUUUAUUUGCUUCACUGUUCUGUGUGUUGGGAGGACAAGGUCCGAUUCUGUCUCCCACAUUUACUGUACUUCUCAGACUGAGCUAUCAAAUGAACAAACAAGCCGCUAACACCUCAGGGCUUGCAGUGUCUAUAUGUACUAGAGAUAAGAGACAAUGAAAGAAUCUCCUUUAGUGAUAUAUUGUUGUAGUUAACUAAUAAAUUACUGAGGCUGGACUUGAAUUCAUGAUUCUUCUGUCUCAGCCUUCCAAGUGCUAGAAUUAUAAGCAUGUACAACCAUACCCGAUUCUGGUGAUUUUAAUAGAAGAAUAUAGGCCACAGUCUGGAAACUGAGUCUAAACACUCUAGCCUCCUGAUUUUCCUUCCCCAACCCACCCCCAACUCAACAGCUGUCUCUAUGUUCUAUAAAGUCCACAUUUUGACCAAUUUCUAAAGUUUAAACCAGGAAUUAUACACCCCAAUCGUAAAAAGCUCAUGGAGAAGAAAAUGCCUAAGGGCCUCUGGGUAUGGUAUAAGACUCGAGAACCUCAGCGUCUGGAUGAGAAGCUGUGGAGAUAAGAGUGGUGCAGACUGAACACGCUGUGCACUGCUCAGACAGAGCCAUCAGCAUCUGGCAGACCAGGCCUCAGGAACAGUACAGGGCACAGGUGGCCAGUACUCCUGAAUUUUUCAAGAGUAACGUUUAACUCAGAAUUCCUAACAUGAAAUAUUGAUUUCUAUAUGUGGCUUGCUACAGUGAGUAAACAGAAGAAAAGAAAAGAAAAGAAAAGAAAAGAAAAGAAAAGAAAAGAAAAGAAAAGAAAAGAAAAGAAAAGAAAAGAAAAGGAAAGAAAAGAAAAGGAAAGAAAAAGAAAGGUGAAAAUUAUAUUCAGCCCUUGGGCCAACAAAUGGUAUUAAAAGAUACAUUCAGCCCGGCCUGGCCUACCAUGUCCCAUGCAGAAACAGUUAGAAUUCCUAUACCAUAAUUGUGUCCCUCAAUUCUUUUGAAACCUUCUCUUCUGGGGUCAGAUACGACUACUUUGACAUAUUAUUCAUAAGGCAGAUGGUAUUGGUUCAGUGGGUAUGAAGUCUACAUUGUGCUAAGCCACAUUAAACAAAGCUCAUACUUACAAAAGAUCCCUAUACAUUUGGACACUUUUUCCCCACAGGUGUUUUCACGUCUAUUCUAAACAGGAAGGCAGUUGUACAGCUCAUUCGCCUGCAGCAAGACCAGUCCCUCAGCUCAGAGGCUUCGUCUCAGCAGUUCCACCCAGAAGCCAGCAUUCCAAAGCAAAGCUCCUAACUGUGAUCAAUUAUAGAUUUUUGCCCCUCAAAAAGCUAUACUCUAAAUUAACAAGACAUGUGCUAUCACAACACAUUUAAAUUGUUUACUAUACUUCAAUAUACUGCAUAUUUUAAAAGUAAGAGAGGCAUUUUUAUUUACCUGUAAUUUCAGAAGGUCGUCUGUGUAAUUUUUAUCAGCUAAGGAAUCAGAUGUCGUUAACACAUGAACCCAUGGAUUUACUAGGCCAUAAUGACUGCAGGCAUUUAUCUGAAACAUUACAGAAAUGCAUCACAAGCCAAAUACAGCAAGAGCAAAACAAGUCAUCUCUUCAUCCAUUCACUAACUCUCUGCCACAUCGUAGAUUCAGUUGCACACUCUCCUAGGAGAAGGAAGCUUUGCAGACGUAUUUCCCUGGAAAAGUGUGUAGUCUUGCUGCUUUCGUAUCAAAUAAUCUGCAAUAAAUAUUUCCUAAUAUUUUGAAAUUUAAAAAUAUUCUACAGAAGUGCUUUCAAGCAAAAUAUAUAAGUGAAUAGAAUAGAAUAGAAUAGAAUAGAAUAGAAUAGAAUAGAAUAGAAUAGAACAGAACAGAAUAGAAUAGUAUUACUCCUAAGAUAAGAGUGGAAAUGAUUUUUGGGGGUGAGAAAAUAUCCUUUUAAGUUCUCAUGAUGACUGUCAUGGAGUAUCCUUAAUCCAAGAAAUUACACUGGUGACCUUUGCACUCAUGGUGCAGUGCCCACAGCAGUCAUAGCAACAGGAGUCUAUGGAAACCAGAGCAGUAUGGGAGGGUGACCAAGGCUGUCGCAGUUGCCUACAACACACCUGAAGCCUAAGCGUGGCCCUGACAGGAAAGAGAACAGUGCAGUAGGCCCUUGCCUCAGCCCUUUCAAAACUGCUUGAGGCAACCCUUCUGAAGAAAGCCUCUCAUAUGCUGGGACACUGCAAGGUGGUAAUAAAGGAGUAUGGCUGUA